GGAAUAUUAGCUCAGUGAUGGAGUGCUUGCCUAGCAUGCAAAAGGCCCUGGGUUCAAUCCCUAGUACCA
rnacentral:tRNA from 1 species